rnacentral:lncRNA from 1 species
GCUUCCCAUAUUCUAACUAUUAGGUUAUAGAUGCUUAUAGAGGUUAUAUACUGUAUUAUAGUAACUGUAUUUGUAGCCCUAGGUCUUCAAGUCCUGUUGAGGUUUGUAAAUAAAAUAAAUAAAAUUGUCUACGGCUCUGAG